rnacentral:rRNA from 1 species
GACAGAGGAUGCAAGCGUUAUCCGGAAUUAUUGGGCGUAAAGAGCGUGUAGGCGGCCCGAUUAGUCCGCUGUGAAAGUCCAGGGCUCAACCCUGGAAUGCCGGUGGAUACUGUCGGGCUAGAGUCCGGAAGGGGCGAGUGGAAUUCCUGGUGUAGCGGUGAAAUGCGCAGAUAUCAGGAGGAAUACCGGUGGCGAAGGCGGUCAUCUGGCUCGUUACUGACGCUCAGGCACGAAAGUGUGGGUAGCAAACAGG